UUGGCAAUUGAACAACCCAGAAACAACAGACUUGAGUGGUUGCUGCAAACGAAAAACUGCAUAGCACACCCACCUUGACUAUACUUUACGAAAUUAGACUUCGACAUAAAACGUGAACUAAAUUGCAUAUUUUAUUCAUAUGAAUAACGUAUGUAAACAUGAACAUUACACAAGAUGCAUGGGUACAAAAUUAAACAACACACUCUAACUCACUCCACUAUUUAUCAGUAAUUCUGCAUAAAGAAGGCUAGGGAGACUGAUGAUGAAUACAUUGCUACUGACAAAUUGGGCAAGACUUAUCACCUUUUAAAACUAAUGAGGGAAUGUGGGCUUCAGUUAGAAGAGCAAAUGCAUCGCCCACUUCUUAAGUAUAUAACUGACAUGGGCUUUGUUCAAGAAUUUUAACUUUUCUAUGAUGUUAUCCAAGUCGGUAAUCCCAGCUCAAUUUCAUAAUUGGGUUAGUAUGAAAUGUUGGUUUGCAUAAUGGUUAAAAAUGAAGAAAUGAUCUGGGAUAUAUGUGAAUACAUUACAGACGAAGAGAGUAGAGACAUUACUUCUUUAUGAGGUAGAUGAAUUUGUUUCUCAUAUCAGUUCUUUUUUUUACAUUUAUUUCAUUGAACUUAUAUCUGAGCAUCUAGUGCAUAGGUUUAGCAGUAACAUUAACAUAUGAGAAUUCUAUAUGUUCCUAUAUUUUUUGUACACCUAUUCAUGAUGAACAUAUUUUUCCUCAUUUGAUGUGUUACCCGUAUAGCAUGUAGUGGGAAUACUGAAUGACAUGUUCUAAAGGGUAGAUAAAUACAUCAGAUACAAGAGUUUUGUGGUAUUGUAUUGUAUUUAACAUUUUCUUCUUUUAUUUGACGUCGUAACACCUAGACUAUGCAGUAGACUAUAACAUAAAGUAGACUAUAAUUUUGAGUUUAAACAAAUCAAGGACAAAGAGAGACUCAAAAUAUAUUACACAAAGAACACAUUUAUCAAGUAAGUUCAUAUCAAAAAUCUUAAAUUAAACUUUAUUCCCUAUUUUCAUGAUUUGGGAGGAAAGUGUAAAUUUAAAAAUGUGCUCAUUGAAAUUUCAGAAAGGGAACGACGAAAUUCUAAGCAGUAAAUGAAAAAAAAAAUUAAUGGUGACCAGUUCAUUUCCCGUUGGAGACAUUAUUCAUGAAAAUGAUAGUUUUAGAAUAAAAUAUGAGAAUGUUAUUAAAAAAAUCAUUUUUUAUUUAAAGAAUUAAAAAUUAUAUGAGAACGGUUAUAAUUCGUUGUUAAUUGGAGUCGUUCUCUUUGUCCUAUACAAGAACACUUUUGAGCCGUUCUAUAAAGUUUAAAAAAAAUAUUUAAGCUAUUGUAACGGAAUAUAAAAUUCGUUGCCUAUUACAAUCUAUGAGAAUAAUAUUUUUACCUCCCAAAAACUAGGCGUUGCUAUAGGGUAAAAAUGUUGUAGUGGAAGAUUGUCAGUAUGAUCAUUAAUUUCAUAUAUGCAAGCACAUAGAUCCACAUGCUCACUAAUCUUUUAUAUAUAUAAUAGUAGUAAAUAAAAGUAAAAUGACAGAACAAUUAAAAUACCACAACCUCAAGAAAAGCUAGACUACGUUAUAUCAGAACAAAACUGAAAGAGUAAAGCAAUUUCAAUUGGACAAAGUUAUGUAGUCCCCUCCAUCCAUAUUGUUCUACAUGAAGUAAAACAAUCAAAAAAUUUCAAUUAUCAUAUUGCUUUCUCUCCAAAGGAUUAACCUUUAAACAUGAUUGUCUACUUUUGUCUUUGCCUUUAAUCUAAACCUAAUGCUGACAUGUUUGUGUUGACAAUUACACAAGUUAAGGAUCAUCAAAUAAAUACAAGGAACACCAAAUAUAUGAAAUGUUUUUACUACACUUAGUUAAAUUCUUAGUUACUUUUAAAAACAUAUGUUCUCUAGUAUACAUAUUUUUAUAUCAUUGUCUAAAGUGUCUAUUUUACUCUAUGUUAUGUAAUUCCGCAAAUAGUGGCAUGCCCUUCCUAUAAAAUAUAUGUUAAUAUAUCUGACUAUGUUCCUUGAUGCAAAUUCUGUUAAGCUUUUCAACCAUUUCCAGCAACUAAUUCGCACAAGACCAAAGAGUUGUUGAUGCCUACGGAAGGUCGAAACAACUCUGAGAUAGGUCGUAGUUGACCGAAAUGGCUGUGUGAAUAGCCUGAAGCAGACCAAAACAACUUUGUCGAUAGGCCCACCAUACCGAAAAAACUCUUGGCACUAGAACAAACCAGAAACAACAAACUUGAGCGGUUACUGCAAAUGAAAAACUGCAUAGCACACCCACCUUGACUAUACUUUACGAAAUCAGACUUCGACAUAAAACGAAUACUAAAUUGCAUAUUUUAUUCAUAUGAAUAACAUAUGUAAACAUGAACAUUACACAAGAUGCAUGGAUACAAAAUUAAACAAUACACUCUAACUCACUCCACUAUUUAUCAGUAAUUCUACAUAAAGAAGGCUAGGGAGACUGAUGAUGAAUACAUUGCUACUAACAAAUUGGGCAACACUUAUCACCUUUUAAAAUUAAUGAGGGAAUGUGGGCAUUAGCUAAAAGAGAAAACCUAUCACCCACUUCUUGAGUGUCUAAUUGACAUGGGCCUUGUUCAAGAAUUUUAACUUUUCUAUGAUGUUAUCCAAGCAGGUAAUCCCAGUUCAAUUUCACAAUUGGGUUACUAUGAAAUGUUGCUUUGGAUAAGGGUUAAAAAUGAAGAAAUGAUAUGGGAUAUAUGUGAAUACAUUACAGUCGAAGAGAGUAUAAACACUACUUCUUUAUGAGGUAGAUGAAUUUGUUUCUCAUAUCAGUUCAUUUUUUGCAUUUGUUUCAUUGAACUUAUAUCUGAGCAUCUAGUGCAUAGGUUUAGCAGUAACAUUAACAUGUGAGAAUUCCAAAUGUUCCUAUAUUUUUUGGACACCUAUUCAUGAUGGAUAGAUUAGUCUUCAUUUUAUGUGUUACCCAUAUAGCAUUUAGUGGGUAAACUGAAAGACAGGUUCUAAAGGGUAGAUAAAUACAUCAAAUACAAGAGUUUUAUGGCAUUAUACUGUAUUUAACAUUUUCUUCUUUUAUUUGACGUCUGAACACCUAGACUCUGCAAUAGACUAUAACAGAGUAUAUACUAUAAUUUUGAGUUUAAACAAAUCAAGGACAGAGAGACUCAAAAUAUAUUACACAAGGAACACAUUUAUCAAGUAAGUUCAUAUCACAAAUCUUAAAAUAAAAUACAUAUAAUAGCUAAUACAAACAAUGUCAAGUUAUGUACAGAUAUAAUUAGCCAGGAGCAUGCGAUAAUAUGUUGUGAGAUUCAACAAUUUCUCACAUUUUUACCAGGAUGAAUCAAAAACUCGUAUACCGAUAGUAUCAUGUACGCAAGUUGCGACCUACGAAAAAGAAAGGGUAAGAUUUGCAUGCAGAGAAAAGAUAAAGUUGAAGCAGAGCAUGUACAAACAUACACAAGUUGAAUCAGAGCUCGUAGGUGAAAGAAGCUCUUAAUGGGGUGACGAAUCCUACACGAGAGAAGAAGGAGAAGCUUGUGACGUGAAAAAAUGUUAGGGUUAGGUGUUGCAGAAGCUCGGAAGAAGAAGAAUGGGUUAAGGUUACUUUUGGAAUGAAGAAAGAGUUAGGGUUACUGAAUCUCUCGGUUCUCUCUUUCUUUUGCUUUACAAAUAUCUCAAUAAAUUGGAGUGAAGUCUCUUUUUCUCUGUCUCUAUGCAACAAUCACCAAUCAAGAAUUAAACUAUAUUCCCUAUUUUCGUGAUUCGGGAGGGAAAUGAAAAUUCAGAAAUGCGCUCAUUGAAAUUUUAGAAAGGGAACGAUGAAAUUUGAAGCAGUAAAUGAAAAAAUAAUAAUUUAAUGGUGACCAGUUGGAUUCCCG
rnacentral:lncRNA from 1 species